rnacentral:rRNA from 1 species
GAUGAACGCUGGCGGCGUGCUUAACACAUGCAAGUCGAACGAAGCGCUUUAUUUGAUUUCCUUCGGGACUGAUUAUUUGUUGUCUGGGUGCCGAACGGGUGGGUAACGCGUGGUUAACCUGCCUUGACCAGGGGGAAAACAGUUGAAAACGGCGGCUAAUACCCAAUAACCCCACACAUUCGAAUGAUCCAGUUUGAAAAACUCCGGUGGUAUAAGAUGGACCCGCGUUGGAUUAGCUAGUUGGUGGGGUAACGGCCCACCAAGGCGACGAUCCAUAGCCGACCUGGUAGGGUGACCGGCCACAUUGGGACUGAGACACGGCCCAAACUCCUACGGGAGGCAGCAGUGGGGAAUAUUGCACAAUGGGCGAAAGCCUGAUGCAGCGACGCCGCGUGAGCGAAGAAGUAUUUCGGGAUGUAAAGCUCUAUCAGCAGGGAAGAUAAUGACGUUACCUGACUAAGAAGCACCGGCUAAAUACGUG